ACGUGUUACUACCUUUACCGUAACACGUGUUACUGUUACUACCUUUACCGUAACACGUGUCACUGUUACUGCCCUUACCGUAACAUGUGUCCGGUCUGUUCCAGGUUCAGGAACGUGGUGUUCGACAUCGUGCCCGGCCCGGAGAGAGGGAGCUUCACCGUCAAAGCCCGGUUCCUGGGAGUGGAGAUGGAGGAGUUCCUGCUGCAGUACCAGGACCUGCUGCAGCUGCAGUAUGAAGGCGUGGCGGUGAUGAAGAUGUUCGACAAAGCGAAGAUCAACGUAAACCUGCUCAUCUUCCUUCUCAACAAAAAGUUCUUCAAGAAAUGAACCAGAGUGAAGCUCUUACCUUUCACUCCUAUCUCUGAUGAUGAUUAUAUACAGCAGAGUGAAGCUCUCCCCUCUCACUCCUAUCUCUGAUGAUGAUUAUAUACAGCAGAGUGAAGCUCUCCCCUCUCACUCCUAUCUCUGAUGAUGAUUAUAUACAGCAGAGUGAAGCUCUCCCCUCUCACUCCUAUCUCUGAUGAUGAUUAUAUACAGCAGAGUGAAGCUCUCACCCCUCACUCCUAUCUCUGAUGAUGAUUAUAUACAGCAGAGUGAAGCUCUCCCCUCUCACUCCUAUCUCUGAUGAUGAUAUACAGCAGCGUGAAUGAAGCAUCUCUGUUUUUAUAUCAUUACUUAUCAAUCAUGAACUUUAUUGACACUUUUGUUGUUGUUGUUGUUGUUGUUACAUUAUCUCCAAAGCUGAGUUACAUUUUAAUGUGUUAUUGCACGUUACCAAGAGAACAGCAUAGAUGAAUAACCAUGAUACAGAUGACUCACCUUCUAUACCUGACUACAGAGUGAGAAAUCCUGCUGCUCCAAUCUCUGUUCACCUGUUUUAGUUUGUUUCACAAACAUCUAUGAUGCCAAUAACUGUAAAUAUUUUCUGUCACUUCCUGUUUGUUUUCACCUCAUUAAAUAUCUGAACAUCCUGACCUGUUGUUUCUCAUUCAUUGAACCUGGUAUUAGGCAGGAAGUGAUUCACCUGUAAACAACUGGAGGUUUCAUGAAUCAUGUUUUUAUUCCACAUUUUCAGAAACGGAGUAAAAGAAGAAAAAUAUAUCACAGAUUCAUCAGAGACGUUUCUAUCUGCUAACAGGCUUACAAAAAUACUCUCAUUUAUUUUAAACUUCAAGUAUCUACGAACAACAAGCUCCAUCACCUCAACCAGUCCAAACCAUUACAUCUGGUUUCAUCCAUUUUAAAACUGUAAUCGUGUAGAAUGCAGUCUGAACCAGUUUAAUCUGGUUUGAUCCUGUUUAAACCAGUUGGAUCAGGUUCAAUCCAGUUAAACCAUCCUAUUCCAAUUUACUCCAUUUAUAACUGUUUUAAUUAAAAUAGGACCAGUUUAAUCCUGGUUAAACCAGUUGAAUGCGGUUCAAACCAAGAUAUACUAUUUUAUUCUAAUUUAAUCCAGCUAAACUGGUUUAACUCAGUUUGGAUCAAACUGAAUCCAGUGUAAACAGUCCUUCACAUCUUAAUGGCACAAACGUUUUCUCCUCUGUUCAAAGUGUCAACAGGAAGCUUCUUAAAAACAUUUCAGUCGCAGUCAAACUUUAUAAACAAUCAAAGAUUCAGAGACGCUCGUUUCAGAUCAACUUUACAAAAACAGAGUUGAACGUGUUUUCCUCUGCACGUAGAGAACCCUAACCCUGUCCCAUUUACUGCUAUCCUGGCUAUCUGCAGCUAUCCGUGGUUAUCUGUGGUUAUCUAUAUCUGUGGCUAUCUGUGUUUAUCUGUAUCUGUAGUUAUCUGUAUCUGUAGUUAUCUGUGUUUAUCUGUAUCUGUAGUUAUCCGUGGCUAUCUGUGUUUAUCUGUGGCUAUCUGUAGCUAUCUGUGGCUAUCUGUGUUUAUCUGUAGUUAUCUGUGGCUAUCUCUAGCUAUCUGUAGCUAUCUGUGGGUAUCUGUAGUUAUCUGUGGCUAUCUUUAGCUAUCUGUAGUUAUCUGUGGCUAUCUGUUUAUCUGUAGCUAUCUGUGGCUAUCUUUAGCUAUCUGUUGCUAUCUGUGUUUAUCUGUAUCUGUGGCUAUCUGUAGCUAUC